UACAGAGGGGGCAAGCGUUAUUCGGAAUUAUUGGGCGUAAAGGGCGCGUAGGCGGCCUGGCAAGUGGAAGGUGAAAUCCCUCGGCUUAACCGAGGAACUGCCCUCCAAACUGCUUGGCUAGAGUCCGGAAGAGGAGAGUGGAAUUCCCGGUGUAGCGGUGAAAUGCGCAGAUAUCGGGAAGAACACCCGUGGCGAAGGCGGCUCUCUGGGACGGUACUGACGCUGAGACGCGAAAGCGUGGGGAGCGAACAGG
rnacentral:rRNA from 1 species